GUAGUCCACGCCGUAAACGAUGUCGACUUGGAGGUUGUGCCCUUGAGGCGUGGCUUCCGGAGCUAACGCGUUAAGUCGACCGCCUGGGGAGUACGGCCGCAAGAUUAAAACUCAAAGGAAUUGACGGGGACCCGCACAAGCGGUGGAUGAUGUGGAUUAAUUCGAUGCAACG
rnacentral:rRNA from 1 species